AAACAAGAGAGUUUGAUCCUGGCUCAGGAUGAACGCUGGCGGCACGCUUAACACAUGCAAGUCGAGCGGAGAUGUGAGUUGGAA
rnacentral:rRNA from 1 species